rnacentral:rRNA from 1 species
AGAGUUUGAUCCUGGCUCAGAAUGAACGCUGGCGGCGUGCCUAACACAUGCAAGUCGGAUGUGCCGCAAGGUGCAUGGCAGACGGGUGAGUAACGCGUAGGGAAUCUACCUUUUUGUGGGGAAUAACGCUCCGAAAGGAGUGGUAAUACCGCAUGAGACCGCAGACUGGGAUGUUUGUGGUGAAACCUGGGGACCGCAAGGCCUGGGGCAAGAAGAGGAUCCUGCGUCUGAUUAGCUAGUUGGCGGGGUAAUGGCCCACCAAGGCGACGAUCAGUAGCCGGCCUGAGAGGGUGAUCGGCCACACUGGAACUGAGACACGGUCCAGACUCCUACGGGAGGCAGCAGUGGGGAAUUUUGCGCAAUGGACGAGAGUCUGACGCAGCAACGCCGCGUGGGUGAUGAAGGUCUUCGGACUGUAAAACCCUGUCGUCAGGGACGAAGGUAUGGGAG